UAAUUGAGUGUUUUAUGGCACUCUUUAAAAAAUCCAUAUCCACCUUGUGUGCAACGUUUUUAGACACCCUGGCGCUGAUAUCUCUUUUUAUAAGAGAAGGAAAGCCAGGAUGUUUGAUUAACUUAACUCAACUCCUUUAAAACAGUUUGUCUGAUAACAUAUUAUGAAUAUACUUAAUUCAAAAUA
rnacentral:misc_RNA from 1 species